rnacentral:rRNA from 1 species
UACAGAGGUCCCAAGCGUUGUCCGGAAUCAUUGGGCGUAAAGAGCUCGUAGGCGGCUUAGUAAGUCGGGUGUGAAAACCCCAGGCUCAACCUGGGGACGCCACCCGAUACUGCUAUAGCUAGAGUCCAGUAGGGGAGUGUGGAAUUCCCAGUGUAGCGGUGAAAUGCGCAGAUAUUGGGAGGAACACCAGCGGCGAAGGCGGCACUCUGGGCUGGUACUGACGCUGAGGAGCGAAAGCGUGGGUAGCGAACAGG